rnacentral:misc_RNA from 1 species
GUCAAACUCCUUCGUGGAGGACGAGGGGAACGGCUCCGAGAGCUCGCGCUGCCGGAGGCCGAGGAGGAUGAGCUGAAGGACCUGGAUCGGGAGCGAGAGCGGGAGGAGGAGCGGGAAGGUGACGAAGAGCGGGAGGAGGAACCGGAACGAGCGCGACGAGCGCGGCCCGGUUUCGCCAUGAGCGGGAGAGGAGAUGAAACCCUAGAUUAAACCCUAGUGCCGAAGAGAACGG